UGGGGAAUUUUGGACAAUGGGCGAAAGCCUGAUCCAGCAAUGCCGCGUGUGUGAAGAAGGCCUUCGGGUUGUAAAGCACUUUUGUCCGGAAAGAAAUCCUUGGCUCUAAUACAGUCGGGGGAUGACGGUACCGGAAGAAUAAGCACCGGCUAACUACGUGCCAGCAGCCGCGGUAAUACGUAGGGUGCAAGCGUUAAUCGGAAUUACUGGGCGUAAAGCGUGCGCAGGCGGUUUGCUAAGACCGAUGUGAAAUCCCCGGGCUCAACCUGGGAACUGCAUUGGUGACUGGCAGGCUAGAGUAUGGCAGAGGGGGGUAGAAUUCCACGUGUAGCAGUGAAAUGCGUAGAGAUGUGGAGGAAUACCGAUGGCGAAGGCAGCCCCCUGGGCCAAUACUGACGCUCAUGCACGAAAGCGUGGGGAGCAAACAGGAUUAGAUACCCUGGUAGUCCACGCCCUAAACGAUGUCAACUAGUUGUUGGGGAUUCAUUUCCUUAGUAACGUAGCUAACGCGUGAAGUUGACCGCCUGGGGAGUACGGUCGCAAGAUUAAAACUUCAAAUGGAAUUGACGGGGUCAUAGCUGUUUCCU
rnacentral:rRNA from 1 species